UACGUAGGGACCGAGCGUUGUCCGGAAUCAUUGGGCGUAAAGAGCUCGUAGGCGGCUUAGUAAGUCGGAUGUGAAAAACUCGGGGCUCAACCCCCGAGACGCCAUCCGAUACUGCUGUGGCUUGAGUCUGGUAGGGGAACACGGAAUUCCUGGUGUAGCGGUGAAUGCGCAGAUAUCAGGAGGAACACCUAUUGCGAAGGCAGCUCGCUGGGACGUAACUGACGCUGAGACGCGAAAAGCGUGGGGAGCAAACAGG
rnacentral:rRNA from 1 species